GGUCAGGCGGGAUUACCCGCUGAGUUUA
rnacentral:rRNA from 1 species